CGGAAUUGCUAGUAAUGGCAGGUCAGCAUACUGCCGUGAAUACGUUCCCGGGCCUUGUACACACCGCCCGUCACACCAUGAGAGUUGGGGAUACCCGAAGCCUGUGAGCUAACUAUUUAUAGGAGCAGCAGUCGAAGGUAGAAUCAAUGAUUGGGGUGAAGUCGUAACAAGGUAGC
rnacentral:rRNA from 1 species